CACUGGGGCAAGUCAGGGCAGAACCUAUAUCAAACCAGAGUCUGGAAUAAAGACCUUGGAAGAAUAUUGCCGACUGGCUUGCUUCUCAUGGAUUUCUUACCCUACUUUUUUGUAGCACACAGUAUCACUUAACCAAAGAUAGUACUACCCACAGUGAACUGGGCCCUCUCAUAUCAGUCAUUAAUCAAAACAAUACUCCAGAGACUUACUACAGAACCCAGGACCACCAAUCCAAGGAAGUACCAUCUGUGAUGGCCUCAGCCUUCCCUCACCAGCCACUAAUUAAGAAAAUGCCCUACAGGCCUUUAUGUAGAACCAGCAAACACAAUAACAAAGAUAAAACAAAAAUCUUACAUUGAAGUUGGCAAGACCAACCAACAGAAAGAAGAAAGCAUAAGAGUCAGAGACCUACUUGUUUGUAUACUCAAGAAAUCCAUGAAAACUCUAAACCAUGUAUGUGUAUGGAACAGAUCUGGUGCAGACCUGUCUUGGUCCUUUGCAUCAUGUUUCAGUUUCUGUGAGUUCAUAUCAGCUUUGCUCAUGUUGAUUUAAAGGGCCUUGUUUGAUUAUUAUCUGUCAUCCCUUCUGGCUGCUUCCUUUACUACCAGAUUCCAUGACUUCUGAGGGGAGGGAUUUGAUGGAGACAUCUAUUUAGGGAUGAGUGUUCAAAGGUCUCUUUCUCUGUGUAAUGUCUGGCUGUAGCUCUCUCUGGUUGUUCCCAUCUGCUGCAGGAGGAAGUUUCCCUAAACAAAGUACUGAUCUAUAAGUAUAACAGACAAUGAUUAGAAGUCACCUUAUCACUAGUUUUAAAAAAUUGGUUUUCAAUGUUUAUUUUAUGUGCAGUGGUGUUUUGCCUGCAUAUAUGUCUCUGUGAGGGUGUCAGAACCCCUGAAACUGGAGUUAAAGAUAGUUGUGAGCUGUUAUGUGGG
ensembl:lncRNA